GACAACAAGAAUGAUGUUCUCCAGGCCUGGAGAAUGGUGAUCAUCACCACUGCCAUCCUCUGAGAAACCAGGAAUCCCCAAACUCAGCGCUUUAGUGAAAUUGAGUCGCAGGCAUCCAACUCAACCAACAAAGCUCUCAAAGCUGCCCUCGCUACGCCGCAGCGGCCGGGAGGGGGCGCCCGAACUCGCCAUGACGCACUGACGACAACGCCCACCCAGCGAGACCCGCCUCCAGCGCCGCGAACUCGAGCGCCUGAUCCAGCCGGAGAUCCCUGCGAGGCGCCGCCGGGGCUCAGGGAGCGCGUGGGGCCGUGGGAGCCCCAUCACGCCACUCUGCCCUUCAGUGGUGCUAACCCAGGUCAUGUGGAUGGAGAGGGAUGUGGAAAGUCUUUGGACUCUCUGGUCACCUUGGUUUCAGUGAGUGAGUAGUGGUCCAAGCAAAAAAGGAAGUUCCAAGAGGGCUGGCAUUUCAUUUUUUCCUUCAUCCUCACCUUUUAAUCCUUCGAAGGCAUAAAACCUGCGAUUUAGAUACAUAACUUUAAUAAAAUGAAUGAAUGAACUGCAGUUCCACCCUUUGAGUUUGUGAAAUCAGUCUUGACAUUAAUUUCUUUAAGAGAAACAAAUGCAAAAAGAUUUGAAAGUAAAACUUUAAAUAAUAAUUUU